GCCACUUCUUUGAAGUAGCAUAAUCACGGUUACAACUAUGAUGACAACCAUUAGAAUAGGGUGUUUUUCUUUUCGUUUCUUUUCUUUUCUUUUCUUAUUGGCUUUUCAUUUUUCUGUGCUGGGAAAGGUGCAUAGGUAUCUUAAGGUUAUAGAAAGAUAAGUUGGCAUAAGAUCAUCCCUCAUGCGUUUUGGGAAUUCCUUUAGGCUGCAGAGUUGCUGUGUAAUCAUCCCUUACAUUGAGAAGGUAGAUUGGAACUGCCUAUGAAACUUCUACCUUCUGCAAGUUCUCUGUUAGCCGUGCCAAUCAUUGUAUUGCUCAAUUGGGACCAAGGAUCAAAAUUUCGUUUUGAGGGAUUGUUUCGGUUGGUUCGGAAAUGAAAAC
rnacentral:lncRNA from 1 species